ACGUUUCAAUUUUAUUGAAUCAUUUUAUCAGAAAAGAAGCUAAGUCGAUAUUUGAAAAGUUUAAACUGAUUUUUUUGUGAUUUUUACCAGAAAGUGGAUGUUGCAACAGGCUAUGAUCCAGGGAUUUGUAGCAAAGCGAAUCAUGGCUUGUUUAAAUUGGUAGAAGAUCGUUCAGGCAAUAAUAAAUUAUUGUUUGCUCUUUUGAAAAUGGAGCCUAUCUUUGGAAAACAACAGAUGGUAAGUCACUUGGAC